AGAUUGAACGCUGGCGGCAUGCCUAACACAUGCAAGUCGAACGGGAGUAGCAAUACUCUAGUGGCGGACGGGUGAGGAAUACGUAGGAAUUUGCCCUUAAGUGGGGGAUAACCCGGGGAAACCCGGAUUAAUACCGCAUGACCUCGAAAGAGCAAAGUGGGGGAUCGCAAGACCUCACGCUUUUGGAGAAGCCUACGUCGGAUUAGCUAGUUGGUGAGGUAAUGGCUCACCAAGGCGACGAUCCGUAACUGGUCUGAGAGGAUGAUCAGUCACACCGGAACUGAGACACGGUCCGGACUCCGUACGGGAGCAGCAGUGGGGAAUAUUGGACAAGUGGGCGCAAGCCUGAUCCAGCAAUGCCGCGUGUGUGAAGAAGGCCGUUAGGUUGUAAGCUACGUUUAAGUUAGGGAAACGAAAAAACU
rnacentral:rRNA from 1 species